GAUUACAUACCCAUGUUCCUUUAUGCAUAUUCAUGUUCACAUGACUCAACGGUGGUUUAAGCAAAUGAAGUUGAACCAAACACCAAUGACUCAUUUGUGAGAGAAACUGAGAAUAUGAAUUCUAUUUUAAAUGGCAACGGAAACCAUAUAUUUAAAUAUAUACCUGAGAGCAGAUUUCUUUCCUUGAAACACCAAAUAGCAAAAGCAAAGUGUAGUACUUAUAAGACAGAGAAGCAUAUUCGAUGAGUCUGAGCUGUGCGUAAGGCUUAAUGAUAAUAACACUCAUUGAAAAAGUCCAGUUAUUACCUCGCUUUCGGGGUAAACCAAAGUGAUUCAGUAAAAGCCUGCAGUGAGCAUCAACACUUAGCCACAUGAUCAAAACUUCAAAAUGUUAUAGGAUUCAAAACUUCUCAUUACAAAUGAUAUAACUAAUACAUAAAAAGAUUUUACCUUCUUUGAUG
rnacentral:lncRNA from 1 species